UAAGAAUUGCUGAGAGAAUAUCUCAGUGGAUAAUGUUGUGGCCUCACAUACAAACAAAUCGAGUUCGUAUCCUGGCUGAUGCCAAAUUUUUAUAUCCGUUUUUUAUUCAUUAUUUUUUUGUCAUUCAUAGGAUCUGAAAUCCCUCUACUCGGAUUAUUUUGAAAGAACACCUAUCAACUCACAAAACAGAUUUUUCGAGAGAUACUGACCUUGAUUUUUCAGACGUGGAAAAAUGAGACACUAGUGCAACGACGGCACUGCGGGACCACGUUCUUCUCGCACAAAAAGGACAUGCGCGGUGUUCAGUUGAUGCGGGGUUCGCACAUCUAAAGAUUAAAUUCCGGUGGCAUGAUUUAGAAACACUUCAUCAGCUGGCCCAUGUUAAAGAGAUGUCAUCUACAACCAACAGCCUGUAUGUUACCCCAAGUUGUCAUGGCGACAAUGGAAACCCGUUCUAGAGGGAUUUUUCAAACCAAUUAUUGUUUUAAGAAAAUUCCUGCACUUCCGGUUCCAGUCGAACACACCGGGUGUGGUUAUGGGCAAAAUAACACCUGAAGGCGAGGAAUAUUAGAUUCAAGUCUUGAAAGAACACGGAUUCCGGUUCAGUUCAUGUGUCCGUCCAAGCGUUAUUACGCAUAGGGAAUGUCAGCAGUGUUGCGAAGUGUGCGUGUAUUCGUCAGUCAAGACAGUUAAUCAUAUUAUCAGUGAUUAAGGUGCACUGUUAUAACAGCUAAGUGCAGAUUUAAAUAUCCAGAACUGUUGUUGUUUGUUGUUAAAAUAUACGGCCAUUGUUUCUGUUAUAAAGAAAAAGAGAACUUUUUUAUUUAACUAUGUUUUUUUUCCAUAAGUAUUAAACGUUAAACGUAGACUUAUAUACUUUUGUUGAUUUAUUUCUUUUGGUAUUUACCUAACAUUUGUCUCAUUUCAAUCUAUGUGACCCGGGCAUACUAAAACCCACCAACA